UCCCCGUUAUCCGAGGCGGUUUCACCAGAGUGCCCAACUGAAUGAUGGCAACUGGGGAUAAGGGUUGCGGUUCCCUUUCGGGCACACCGAACUCUCAUCCGGCUUCCGCACAUGUCAAGGGUAGGUAAGGUUUUUCGCGUUGCAUCGAAUUAAUCCACAUAAUCCACCGCUUGUGCGGGUCCCCGUCAAUUCCUUUGAGUUUUAACCUUGCGGCCGUACUCCCCAGGCGGUCGACUUCACGCGUUAGCUUCGUUACUGAGAGUGUCAAACCCCCAACAACCAGCCGACAUCGUUUAGGGUGUGGACUAC
rnacentral:misc_RNA from 1 species